GCUCUAAUAAAUUUGUUAGCCUCUAAGGUGCCACAAGUACUCUUCUUUUUGCGAAUACAGACUAACACGGCUGCUACUCUGAAACCUUAGUUUGCAUUGUGUUGCUUUCUUUUCCUUUGUAUUGUCAUUUUAUGCUGUGCAGAGUAGGUAGCUCACGAAAGCUUAUGCUCUAAUAAAUUUGUUAGUCUCUAAGGUGCCACGGGUACUCCUUUUCUUUUUAGUAUAACAGGACUAACCCUUCCCUGUGUCUACUGGAAAUACCUUGCCUGAUGCAUCCUAGUACUGCAUUAACCUAUUUCACGGUCGCAGCACUUUGGCAGCUCAUAAUUAUUCUGUGAUCAACCAAUACACUUAGGUCUUUUUCCUCCUCUGUGACUUCCAACUGAUAAUUCCUCAGUUUAUUGCAAAAAUUCUUGUUUUUCAUCCCCAAAUGCAUAACUUUGCACAAUUAAUUUUCAUCCCAUUUCUAUUACUCCAGCUUUCAAGGUUAUGCAGAUCUUCUAGGAUGAUAUUCCUAUCCUCCUCCUUGUUGGCAAUCCUUCCCAGCUUUGUGUCACACUCCCACUUUUUGUGCCAGGGUCACGAAUAAAAAUAUUGAAUAAGAUCGGUCACAAGACUGAUCUCCGAGGAACUCCGCUAAUAGUCUUCCUCCAGCCUGUCAACUCACCAUUCAGUAUGACCCCUUGUAGUCUCCCCUGCAACCAAUUCCUUAUCGACCUUUCAGUUCUCAUAUUAAUCCCCAUUUUCUUCAAUGUAACAAAUAGUUUCCCAUGUGGAACUGUAUCAAAUGCCUUACUGACAUCCAGAUAGAUGAGAGCUACUGCAUUUCCUUUGUCCAAAACAUUAGUUAUCUUCUCACAGAAGGAGAUCAGGUUUCUCUGGCACGAUCUACCUUUUGUAUUUAUUAAUAGUGCUGAAGGCUAAAAGGAACUGUUAGCAGUAGGCUGAGAAUGGCCAUGUGGAGGUGGGGGAAGGGAUGGCAGACCGUGUGGAGGUGGGGGAGGGGAUGUGAUGUUGGAGGGAUAUCUGGGACUGUGUUUUGUAGGAGUCCAUGUCUCUGCUCCCGGUGGCUGUGGUGCCUUCCGUACCAAAGCAGCAUGUCAGCAGAGCAGACGCGCACACACCAUAGCUCCAUCUGGAACAUGCCGCAUUCACUGCCAGACGGGAUGGGUGAUUUUUCAGGGGCCCAGCUUGAUAUGCCUGGCUGGGGUGGAUUCACUUGGACAGGAGUCUGGGGCUCUGAUAGUUGGGGAUGUUCCUUUUUUUGCAUAGUCAGUUCUUUCCCUUUAUUGUUUUACCCCCACCUAUGCUUGAUGUCACUCUCUUAACUUGCUUUGGUUAUUUCAGUUCCAUUUUUAAAUGGGAUCUAAUAAUUGCAAAGCUGAACGAAAGAUAAACCAAACAGAACCAUUUGAAUUUUGGCACACAGCUGGUAGGAGUAUACCCAGUGAAGGUAUGCUGUAAGUACCUGGCUACCUGUAGCAUUUUCUGGUGGGGUGGAUAAAGGAAUGUCAGAGCCAAAAGCGCUUUUUAGGGUGAAAGGGUUCAUCAGGUGUUUGCCCUCUAGGGAGCAUAUCACCAGCCAGGGGUUGCAGUCUUUCAGGAGUAGUGCGCUGGAUUUUAUUUAAUAAUCUUAAAAUAAAAGGUUAAAAUGGCUAGUUCACAAUAGGCAAUGAAAUCUUGCAAACAAUUAUACAAAUAGACCCUAAUGCUAUUAAAACAGCAUGGAAUUAAUACUAAUUCUAAACUAAAAGAAAAGGAGGACUUGUGGCACCUUAGAGACUAACAAAUUUAUUUGAACAUAAGCUUUCUUGAGCUACAGCUCACUUCUUCGGA